rnacentral:piRNA from 2 species
UGAAAUCAGAGCCUUCCCCCAAGAUGUGGAGC